rnacentral:rRNA from 1 species
UACGGAGGGUGCAAGCGUUAUCCGGAUUUACUGGGUUUAAAGGGUGUGUAGGCGGGCUUUUAAGUCAGUGGUGAAAUCUCCGGGCUCAACCUGGAAACUGCCAUUGAUACUAUUAGUCUUGAAUUUUGUUGAGGUAGGCGGAAUAAGUCAUGUAGCGGUGAAAUGCAUAGAUAUGACUUAGAACACCAAUUGCGAAGGCAGCUCGCUAAACAAAUAUUGACGCUGAGGCACGAAAGCGUGGGGAUCAAACAGG